GACGAACGCUGGCGGCGUGCUUAACACAUGCAAGUCGAACGGAAAGGCCCUGCUUUUGUGGGGUGCUCGAGUGGCGAACGGGUGAGUAACACGUGAGUAACCUGCCCCUGACUUUGGGAUAACUUCAGGAAACUGGGGCUCAUACCGGAUAGGAGCUCCUGCUGCAUGGGGGGGGUUGGAAAGUUUCGGCGGUUGGGGAUGGACUCGCGGCUUAUCAGCUUGUUGGUGGGGUAGUGGCUGACCAAGCCUUUGACGGGUAGCCGGCCUGAGAGGGUGACCGGCCACAUUGGGACUGAGAUACGGCCCAGACUCCUACGGGAGGCAGCAGGGGGGAAUAUUGCACAAUGGGCGGAAGCCUGAUGCAGCAACGCCGCGUGCGGGAUGACGGCCUUCGGGUUGUAAACCGCUUUCGCCUGUGACGAAGCGUGAGUGACGGUAAUGGGUAAAGAAGCACCGGCUAACUACGUG
rnacentral:rRNA from 1 species